CGCACACAGGGGAAGGGCCAUGACAGGACACAGAGAGAAGACAGCCAUCUGCAGCUAAGGAGAGGCCUCAGGCGAAACCAAACUGGCUGACACCUUGAUCUUGGACUUCCAGCCUCCAGAACUGUAGCAUCAGAGAAGACCCCGCUGACCCACUGACACAGAGUCCGUGCAUGAUGCUGGAAGCUGCUAUCACAUACCCAUUUUACAGAUGUGUGGACUGACUCUUGGAGAGCAUGAGUGCUUGACCAAGGUUGAGCUCCAUCUCCAGGUAGCCUUCAGGGAUUGCAAACAAAGGUCAAGGUCUUCUGCGUUUACCUCCUCCUGGGUGGGUGGCCACAGUUCCUUCAGUGGGCCUGGGGCUAUAUCCUGUGGACAUUCAAAGUUG